UGGACCUAAAAUGUAAACAAGGUGGGCCUCUGGCAGAUGCUUGUGGUGUUGUAAGGAGAUGAAACCUGCUUACAUUUCUGUCUGUAUGGGAUAGAAGGGGUGUUACACACACUGAGGGACUUAAGAGGAGGAAAAUAUUCUGUACAGUUUAGAGGAAUCCAGAAGGCUUUAGAGAAUAUAAGUUGCAUUUGAUCGAGGCCUUGAAAGAGAUACUGGGUUUAAAGAAAUGGGUUAGCGCUGUGGAUAUAGCUUAGAGGUAGAAGGCUUGCCUAGCAUCCUUGAGGCCAUCGGUUUGAUCCCCAGCCCUGGGGGUGUGUAGGUAAGGAGGACUGGAGUGGGCUGGGAAUUUAAAGCAAGGAUAUUAGAGGAAAAGAAAGCAACAGUGUCUGGGGAUGUAGCUGAGUGGUAGACUGUUUGCCUAACGUGCAUGAGGCCUGGGUUCAAAAGAAAAAAAAAAAAAAGAAGAAGGAAAAGAGAAAUAAAGAAAGAAAAGCAACAGGCAUAGGAAUUGGUAACUGUAUGGU
rnacentral:lncRNA from 1 species